rnacentral:rRNA from 1 species
GACAGAGGAGGCAAGCGUUGUUCGGAUUCACUGGGCUUAAAGCGAGUGUAGGCGGCCCGGCAAUUGUCGUGUGAAAUCCCACGGCUCAACCGUGGAACGGCACGGCCAUCUGCCGGGCUUGAGGUCGGUAGGGGUGCCUGGAACUCCAGGUGGUGCUGUGAAAUGCGUAGAUAUCUGGAGGAACGCCGGAGGCGAAAGCGGGGCACUGGGCCGAUGCUGACGCUGAGACGCGAAAGCGUGGGGAGCAAACAGG